rnacentral:rRNA from 1 species
AUUGAACGCUGGCGGAAUGCUUUACACAUGCAAGUCGAGCGGCAGCGCGGGGGCAACCCUGGCGGCGAGCGGCGAACGGGUGAGUAAUACAUCGGAACGUGUCCUUCAAGUGGGGGAUAGCUCGGCGAAAGCCGGAUUAAUACCGCAUAAGCUCUGAGGAGGAAAGCGGGGACUGUAACGGCCUCGCGCUGUUGGAGCGGCCGAUGUCGGAUUAGCUAGUUGGGGGGUAAAGGCCCACCAAGGCGACGAUCCGUAGCUGGUCUGAGAGGAUGAUCAGCCACACUGGAACUGAGACACGGUCCAGACUCCUACGGGAGGCAGCAGUGGGGAAUUUUGGACAAUGGGGGCAACCCUGAUCCAGCCAUUCCGCGUGAGUG